GCUGAGCCGCGUCUCCACACACCCGGCGGCCGCGAGGGCGUUCUUCCUGCCCCGCGGAGCCCGGGCCUGGGGCGGGCGCAGGAGAGCGCCCCGGCCUCCACCCAGUUUGCGGAGGAGGUCCAGAGGAAAAAGAGAAGGGAAAACUAGCAUUUAUUUCGUAUUGCCACGUAGCAAGCACUUCACCUAAGUUAUUGCAUUUAAUCCUCACCAAACACCUGAGGCGGAUAGAAUCACCACUGUUCACAGAGGCUCAGAGAGGAGUGAGUGGAGGAACCGCUGCAUCAUUGUGUCAAGUCUGGGAUUUCAUCGACAAGCUAAUGAGUUUGAUUGCUGGCAGAAAACAGGAGACUUCUGAGUCGGAGACAAAAGACUAUUACCCACAGCACAAACAAGCAGCAUGAGCAUUGUUUGCAAGGGUUUCCCCUUUUUCUCCAGCUCCCACUGGGGCAAUGCCAUGGGCCAGAUGGAGGCUCAGUGAUGCUCUGACACUUUGACUCUGGUUCCUGUAAAUUCAGAUAAUAACACCUACCUUGUCACUUUGAGGAAUAAAUGACUUUGUAUAUGUCAAGGAC